rnacentral:tmRNA from 1 species
GGGGGCGUUUUGGCUUCGACGGGGAAUGGGAUAGCUUGUGCUGCAUGCCGAGCUUCUUCUGCUAACUCGUUAAACUGGUAGUAAAACUAUAAGUGCCGAACCAAUCAACGCACUCGCAGCAUAAAUGACUGCGACGUCUCUUAAACCGCGCCUGUCGGGUUUAAUACAGACGUCAUAAAGACGGGCUGGUCUUAAAGGUUUUCUUGUGGCUGGAAAAGACGAGAUUUCUCGCAAGAUAGUGGUGAAAAUACUCGCCUUUCGGUUUAUUUCACCGCGAAACUGAAAGAAGGGAUAAGCAUGUAGAGGCCUUGUGAGGCUCUUCUUCGGACCUGGGUUCGAUUCCCAGCGCCUCCACCA